GCUGCCUCCUCCGAGUCCUCCUCACAUCUGCUCCUCAGCGCGCCGACACGAGCGAGGAGCUCCAUUAAUGGAGCGCUUCUCCUCCGCUGUCACAUGAUCUCAAACUGGGGGGUGGGGGGUUCACGCGGAUUUACGCGGCGCACAGGGAGGGAGAGUCACACAGUAGCCGCGAGCGCAGCGGAGGGAGCUGCGGCGCGUGCAUGUUUGCAGAGGAUUAAUGCGGAGCUGACGGCCCCCCGAGGAAGAUGGGGCAGCAACUUUCACACGCCUGACCUUUGGCCUGGACGCCCAAGUGAGAGUGUUCCCACGUUGACGGGAGAUCGGUCAUUAAGUCCGUUUCAUUACAAAUUCAUUUCUGCUUUUUAUUUUUUUAUUUGGAAUGUUUCUUUAAUUCAAUUGAAACUAAAACGUUGAAUUUAUUCAAUCAGUAAAAUAAACAAAUACUUAAUUUAUUUCUUCUGUUUAUUAUUGUCUAUUUUUUUCUAUUAUUUCUUACAUUUUUUAAAAUUCAUUAUUACAUUUUCUGGCUUAAUUUUAUGUCUUUUAUCUUUUUACUGCUUUUAAAAUCUGUCAAUUUUGUGAUUUUUGUUUAUCGAACCUGCAUUUCAGAUUUUCUAAAACGGAAAAAAAGAAUAUAUAUAAAAAUUUGUUUUGAAAAAUUAGUCCUAAGCAUAAAUUACAUUUGCGUACUAGUGAUUUUUUUCUAAAUGGCUAAACUUUAAUAUUUCCUUUGUAGGCAAAGCAGACCCUUCAGGUGUCGGGUCUCUCCUGACUGCAUCUCAGCUCUUUUAACACGUGUCACUUUAGCUGCAGCACGCCCAGUCUGAGAUGAAACUUUGGAGAAUCCUUUCAAACCGUCUGGAUGUUUUGCUUAAUGUGUUGAAAAAAAUGUUCAGGGAUAAACCAAAAGUAAAAACAUUUAUGGAAACCUUUGUCUGGAAUGCUUUCUGAUAUUUGUGCUUAACCACAGCAUUAAUGGAAUUUGUUGUGAUGAAGAAGAGUUUGAAUCUUGACUGAAUGUCUUUUCUGCGCCGAUGUUCAGACGGUUGGAGCUGCAGGUGGAGGUCGUGUCUCAUCGUAAUGAGAAGUGAAGAGACGUGCACAGAUGAGGCUUUAAAAUGCAUUGUGGACGGAGCGUCAGCCACCCUUCAGCACGCUCCUCAUCAUCAUCGUCCACACUUCAGCGGCUCUCAGACGGAUCAGCCCCCCCCCCCCACACACACACACACACACUCACAGAGCCGUCUUGAUUAGGAUGUUCCAUUGACUUCAUGUUCCCGUAUGCAGACUCCUACCGGAACCAGGACUGCUGAAAUGACGACCCGGUUCUGAUGGUGUCUCUGCUUAAAGUGGUCCUCAUGAGAUGACAAAAACAAGAACACACACACACACUAUGUCAAUGCUGUUCCGUGUUCUCUGAGCACGGACUCGCACCAUCCGCCUCAAACUGAAUUCAUUUGACAAACGGUUCUGUUAAGGCUGAUUAGGCUGCUGUCCUCCCGCUACAGGUGUGAAAACCAGAACACAACCUCACAAUGUGACACACACAAAAAACACACACAUUCAUGCGUGUUCUCCCCUGGAGACUGUCAUUAAAACACUUCAGUUCCAACCAUUCAUCCCAAAAGUCCUUUUUAUCUUUAGUCUUCAGCCAGAAUACAGUUUAAUUAAAGGGAAAGUUUCCAAUUCCUGAAAUUCAUUGAAUGUGUGAUUAUAAAAUUUCUGCAGAAUCUUUUUUUUCUUCAAUUACCUUUUUCGUUCCUGUGAAGAAAAGUGGGUUAAAAAUGCAAGUUUUUUGUGUUUAAUAGACACACAGUAACGUUUUUGAAACAACUUCUGUAAAAAACGUCUAUAUAUUAUGUAGCUUGUGUGUAUUUUUAGUCUUUGAUCUUUUUUUUUUAAACUUUGACUCUCACCUUAUCCAGUUGUGUUAAACUGUGGGUCACCGAGUCACUGGUUCAAUUCUCGACAGCAUGACUUAGCUGAGCUCUCAUGGCUGAUUGGCUCUCUGAGCUCAGGAGACGAUUACUUCAAUUAAACUGCUGAUUAAGCAAAGUGGAGGCUGAUUAGUUAACGAGCGGCCUUCAGGAGAUCCACUAAUUACCGAAGCGAUUAGCACCGCUCUCGUUAAAGCCCCGCUGACAUCAUCGUUCCAGCGUUCCGCCUCCUCCUGGCUCCAGCAGCUGCCUCUGUCACAUUUGAGCUUCUGUGAAUCCAACUUCAGGCAGUCUCACUUCACCUUUGGAAGCGCCACACUUUCUUUUUUUAACCAAAAUGCGGACGAUCAUCUGAGAACAGACCUCACAGAUUUAAACCCUUCAGAAAAAUGUACUUUUUGUUUUACUCCGUUUUCUUUCAAAGACUACAUUACCCAGAAAAAACUCUAAACUUAAUCUGAAUCAAACGUUGAUGAAAAUCCACCUCAGCGUCUUUCCUCAAAGAAACUUUUUCCAUAUUGGUUCAGAUCUUUAGGACAAAUGUUUUGGUGACCUACCGUGUCUUCAUAUAAAAGAAUUAAAUUCAUUUUCUUAAAAAAAAAAAGCAAACUUAUUCAUUAAGUAAAAUAAUAACCCCCAAAGACGAGGUUUGCAAUGCUUAACAAAAUUACUAACUGUAGUUUUUUUUUACAUUUCAGGCUAAAAAAUAAUGUUAGCUUCAGAUUUUUAAUAAAACGUCAAUCAUCCCGUUUUUUCUUACAUUUUGAUGGAAAAUGGUUGUUUUAAAAUAGAAUAUUUUGGAGUUUUUAUUUCAAAGCGUGGCUUUUGUUGUCAGUUUGGUCCCCUUGUACUGGUGGGUUGAUGUCCCUCGUGGAAAAUCACAAAAUUAGAGAAAGGCUGCGUUCAUGUGGUGCUGGAGUGAUGGGAAAAAUGACGAUCCAACUCAGAAAGCACACAUGAUGGUCAGAAAACAACACAUUAUGAAAUCCCCACAUAAAUACAAAAGAACUUUCUGCACCUAGAUGAAGGUCGGUGUAUUAGUAGAGCACCAUCUAUUGGGAGACACCAGAAUUACAUGGAAAAUUAAAUUGGAGUGAUUUUUCUGCCACCACGUUGCACAAAAAACUUUCUAAGUUGCAAAUGAAAAUAUUGAAUAUUUGGUCUCAAAUUCUAUUUUUACUUUCAAUUUUUUUUGCUUUCAAAAUUUUUAUUUUUGCUUUCGAAAAAUCUUUUAUCUUUUUUUUUGCUUUUAAAUUGAUUUAUUUUUUGCCUUCAAAAAAAUCUUUUUUUGGUUUACAUUUUUUUUCUUUGAAAACAUAUUUUUGCAUUUGCUGCACACAUGUUUUCACAUUUGUUGUGUCUCAUCUGUCUGACGGCAGCUUUGUCACCUAAACUGAAACUUAUGAGAGCAAAAUCAAAGAUAGGACAAAAGUGAGAUGAGACACAGUGUACAAUAUGUGAAAACAUUUGUGCUGCAAAUGCAAAAAUAUGUUUUCAAAGAAAAAAAUUGAAAGCAAAGAGAAAGAAUUUGAAAGAAAAUAUUUAAUAUUUUCAUUUGCAACUUGGAAAGUUUUGUGUGCAACAUGGUGGCAGAAACAUCACUCCAUAAAUAAACCUUAUUAAGGAUUAUCCAUAACAUUGAUUCCAGUUUAAAUAAUUUAACUGGCUGCAUAGUUUGCCCACUGCUCUUCUAGACAGUUCUCCACCUGGACUGAUGCUUAGCCACGGUCUGGCCUCUAAGCGCCACCAGCAUCCAGACUCUGGUCUGAGUUCUUCCCAACCUGCACGCAAAAUGUCCGUGGCUCAGAGCCAAACCCCCAAAGACGAUGGACUUAAUUCAUGGAACACAAAUAAAUCUUUCCUUUCCUUGAUCUCUCUUUGUUGAAAGAGCCUGUGAGCCAAUUUUGGUCAUUUUCUCUCAACAGGUUGAACCUUUUUGCAGAAUGAAUAAAGAAAAGGCAGAACGACACCAGCUCGGGUCAUAACUGUACAUAACCGCUGGUCUUUCUGUAGGAAACUGCUUGGGUGGGACUUAACGACCAUUUGCAGCCGUAUACCUCCAUUAAAGCUCUUCUGACCGGGAUUUAUGGACCCCCAUCCGCUCCUCAGUGGGCCGAAUAUGAACGCAGCUUUUUCAGCUGCAGGUCCUCCUGAUGCUGCACUUCUGCAGCUCCAUUAAGUACACGAGCGAUGAAGACGCUCCUGCUGUCUGUGAUGAGGAAGAGUGCCUCCUCCUCCUCCUCUUUGACUAGCAGGAGCUCGUUGAGUCUGAGAUUGGUGGUGAAAAGCUCAAAGUUUCAUCUGUGACGGAACUUCAUCCUGCAGCUCACAGACCGAGGACUCAGAGAGACCAAACCUCCGCUUUGACUUCCCUUACGUGAUGUUCAAAGAACUCCAGAGGGCUUUCCCGUCCCUGUCCGGCUCAGUCCAGGUGAGACGGUGCUGACGUCAGGGGUUCAGGUGAGCUUUCAGGUCUCUGGUUCCCCUGAGUGUGGAGCCUUCUGAUGUUCUCCAACGUCCUCCAGUGGAUUCCACCCGAUAAACCACCAUUUGAACUGACUUGUUCAUCAUGCCGGACCUUUUCUUCCUUUUUUUUUUGUGGGGGGGGGGGGGGGGAGACCCCCUCCCUCUCCAACAUCUUUUUCAGAUCAAAUCUUUUUUCUCUAUUUUUCAGUUUUCCCACCGCCUCUGAUUCACUCAUCAGUUGGUUCUUCAUUUCCAUAAAUGGUGUUUUUUGGGGGGGAUUGUGACCAGUAACCCUUCACCCCCGCCCCCACCCCCCCCCACG
ensembl:lncRNA